rnacentral:rRNA from 1 species
GACGAACGCUGGCGGCGUGCUUAACACAUGCAAGUCGAACGGAAAGGCCCUGCUUUUGUGGGGUGCUCGAGUGGCGAACGGGUGAGUAACACGUGAGUAACCUGCCCUUGACUUUGGGAUAACUUCAGGAAACUGGGGCUAAUACCGGAUAGGAGCUCCUGCUGCAUGGAGGGGGUUGGAAAGUUUCGGCGGUUGGGGAUGGACUCGCGGCUUAUCAGCUUGUUGGUGGGGUAGUGGCUUACCAAGGCUUUGACGGGUAGCCGGCCUGAGAGGGUGACCGGCCACAUUGGGACUGCGAUACGGCCCAGACUCCUACGGGAGGCAGCAGUGGGGAAUAUUGCACAAUGGGCGGACGCCUGAUGCAGCAACGCCGCGUGCGGGAUGACGGCCUUCGGGUUGUAAACCGCUUUCGCCUGUGACGAAGCGUGAGUGACGGUAAUGGGUAAAGAAGCACCGGCUAACUACGUG